rnacentral:lncRNA from 1 species
UUUAUUUCAUUUGUCAUGAACUUUCUAUGUAAUAGAUUUAAUUAGGACUUUUUUUUUAUUUCUUUCUUUUUAGUUUAAUUAGGUUUUAUUAUUUUGUAUGCCCUUUUAAUUUUGUACUCGUUAAUUAAAAAAUUUAGAUAUUUUAUAUCCCCUUUUAAAUUAUGUACCCCCAAUCCCGAAGCCAUGUAAUAGCGUAGUCUUAUUUUUCGCACUUU